GACGAACGCUGGCGGCGUGCCUAAUACAUGCAAGUCGAACGCUGAAGGAGGAGCUUGCUUCUCUGGAUGAGUUGCGAACGGGUGAGUAACGCGUAGGUAACCUGCCUGGUAGCGGGGGAUAACUAUUGGAAACGAUAGCUAAUACCGCAUAAUAUUGACUAUUGCAUGAUAGUCAGUUGAAAGGUGCAACUGCACCACUACCAGAUGGACCUGCGUUGUAUUAGCUAGUUGGUGGGGUAACGGCUCACCAAGGCGACGAUACAUAGCCGACCUGAGAGGGGGAUCGGCCACACUGGGACUGAGACACGGCCCAGACUCCUACGGGAGGCAGCAGUAGGGAAUCUUCGGCAAUGGCCGGAAGUCUGACCGAGCAACGCCGCGUGAGUGAAGAAGGUUUUCGGAUCGUAAAGCUCUGUUGUAAGAGAAGAACGAGUGUGAGAGUGGAAAGCUCACACUGUGACGGUAUCUUACCAGAAAGGGACGGCUAACUACGUG
rnacentral:rRNA from 1 species